CCAAGCUGGCGUGGACUCAGCAGGAGCCUCUCUCCCCUGCAGCCACAACCUUGAGAGGGGAUUUUAUCCCCUUCUACCCUGGUGCCUCAUGCAGGAGAGCAAAGCAAAGCGCACCAGGUACAGCAGCAGGGAGGAGAGACGAGCAUGGUGGCCGGGCUCGGCCAUCGACCCUGUCCCACCGGAGCCUGAAGAGAAGGGCCCCGGGGUGUCCAGAUGAGCAGUGACCUCUCCUCCCGCAACCACAGCCCAGCCUGAGCUGCACAAAGCCAGAUGAAAAGAAACAAAGGACUCGAAUCGACAUUGCCAAGGCCCACAGAUGGAACUUCAUGAGUCAGGUCUUCUCCUCAUGUGCGUCACCCACCAGAAUCAAAAGCACCUUUGCUGGUCCCAGGAGAGAUCUCUCUUCCCACCAAGGAUAGAGGCCCCCAGCUCAGUUGGACCUCACUAAGCAGGGAGAGUUUAAGCCUCUGUCGCCAACCCGACGGCUGAGGACCCGGGGCUUCAGUGGAAAGCUGGCAGCUUGUCGCCUGUGAAGCACCCUCUUCACCUCGGAUGAGAGCGGGGGUGGGGAAUGGAGCUGAAGAAGGUAAAGCGGUUUCCCAACAUGGGGCUUAUGGACCAACACGGAAAGGGUGGUGCUGAGCUGGCAGCUUGCGAGACGGCCGUGGGGCAAACGACCCGGGUUCCUUCUCGUGGUCCCGCUCCCUGGAGAGGCAGGGGGUGGGGGGGGCGUAAUCACGUGAGGCGUUCGCAAAGGAAAGAGAGGCUGGUCAGGCCAGCGAUCUGUUCAAGGCAGUGGAGCUGAACUGAAUCUGUGUCUC